rnacentral:rRNA from 1 species
UCCGGAUUUAUUGGGCGUAAAGAGCUCGUAGGCGGCUUGUCGCGUCGGAUGUGAAAGCCCGGGGCUUAACUCCGGGUCUGCAUUCGAUACGGGCAGGCUAGAGUUCGGUAGGGGAGAUCGGAAUUCCUGGUGUAGAGGUGAAAUGCGCAGAUAUCAGGAGGAACACCGGUGGCGAAGGCGGAUCUCUGGGCCGAUACUGACGCUGAGGAGCGAAAGCGUGGGGAGCGAACAGG